CCGCCAGCCCCGCAUCGGAGCGGCGGAGCGGGGCAGCCCUGGCGGGAGGGGGGCGCGGGGUGCCGCGGCUUUGUUUGUCCUGCUUGCCCCCAGCGCCGCCGCCGCCGGCCGCGCCCGGCGUGGGGAGUGGGCGAUGCGGCUGCCCCGGGCCGGGCCGAGCGUGCCGAGACCCGCGCUGCGCUGGCGCUGACCCACGACAAGCGGUUGUUCCCCGCGGUGCCCGCCGCCCCAUGAGCAUAUAGUGAAGCCCUUUUUGAUUCGCAUCCAGUUGUAUCAUGACUGCAGUAAAGACAAAUCGUAUUACCUCAUGAAUAACUUUGGAGUGUAUUAUCCCUUGGAGUUCAUGUAAUGAAUGAGCGUCCACAUCAUCCAAGUGGGCAAAUAGUCGAUGUAUUAGACUUGCUUAAAAAGUCAAGAUUGGAUUUCAUGUAACUGAAAUACGUCUGGGAAUUAUAUUUCUGAUAUACGUUUAAAUGCGAAGAGAGCAGUUCCUAGUGUUUGCCUCCCUAAAGCCCCCCUACCUCGUGGUCUCGUAUGCUGCUUCAAGCAAGAAAAAUCUAUUGUGUACAAGGGGGUUGACUGGGGUCCUCAGGGAGAUGGCUUAGUGUAAGUGGCACGCUGAAAGCUUUGUUCUCCUUGCAGAUCUUCAGCAUGACAUACUGCCUUCAGUCAGGUGCUCACUGUUGCGUGGUCUACUGUGCUUUGAGCUGAACAGCAUUUUCACAAAUGUCCUGCUAUCAUUACAGGAAUAUUUUGUAAGCCACACACUUGAGUGCAUCAAUACACAAGAAGACUCCAGUCAUGCAGAAAUACAGAGCUGGACAUAACUUAGUGUAUGCUGGUAGUUGAUGGCAUUCCUUGUUUGUCUGUGGAAGAUACAGAUUUACUGGAAGGAGGAAAAGAAGGCUUUGUCCACUGCAUUAUCACUGCUCCAUGAACACCUGCAACUAGGUUUUUAAUGGGAAUCCAGCUUUCUGUCUUGGAUGUACUUAGCUCUUUGUAUGCCUAACGAUUUAGACUCCAAAGCAGAACUUGCUGUAAAGUAAUUUUUGGUGUUUCAAUUAAGUUGAAAUGCAUGAGUAAGUAAGUGCAUGAGACUGAUAAUCCACAGGUUUUGAUGGAAACUCCACAAAAGAAUCUCAGAAGUCCUUCCUUAGCACCAUCCCUACAGGAAGAAAAGGGCAGGUAGCCUGUUGGAUACUACAAGACCAUCUGCAAGAUCCUUGGGAACCAUCUGCACUGAGGUUUUGUGCCUUUGCAGCAGCCAUAGUCUUGCAAAGGCUUGCUUCAUGUGGGAAUGGGAAGGUGUCUGGGAGGAUCUGUAGUUUGUAUAAUGAAUUUUAGAGUAACUUUUUUUCAUACACACAAGGAUACAAACCAGAAUAUAUCUGUACAGGAGAAUAGAAUAAAAUUGUGGGUCUCUGUUGGAGAUAUGCACACUUGGGAGAAUAGCAACCCUACUGUGCUAAUGGUAAUGUAGGAGCAAAGCACCCAGGGUGGUCUAAGGCUUAGGAAGGGUGUUGAAUUUUGUAGGGAAUGUGAGCUGACUCUUGUAACCAUAACUCCUUUUGUCAUCAAAUGCAUUAACAUUUCCUUUGUUUCGGUGUGUGACCUGCAGUCUUUGGUUUUUCAGUAUGUUUGAGUUGAACUUUUUCAGCUUUGGGGAAGUCAGGAAGCUGCAGGCAGUAAGUAGUUAAGAAAGUGGAUGACCUCAAGGAGUGCAGAGAGGGAAUGUGAGGAAAAGCUGACACUGUCAUCUUCGUUAGGCAAGUUCCAAUAGUCAAGAAUGGUUUCCAAGGGUGCUCCACUCCUGUACUGCUCUCAGAACCGGUCUGUCUCAGAACUAGAUCCAUCUUCUGUUAUUAUUUGCAAUAGUAUAUAUAUAUUCAGUAUGUGCUAUAAAUACAUAUGGUAUGCAGAGUACAGGGCUAAUGUUUCCAAAACUACAUAGGCAAUCGUGCGGGACUAACCAGGUUGGCUUCUUCUAUUGUACUGAGCAACACAUGUGCAUAGUGUGCAGUACUAUAAAGUGUCUGUAUGUAUUUGGAUUCAGUGACAUUUCACUGGAUGUGAAGGCUUGUUGCAGAUUUCUCAUUUGUGAUAAUAAGACUUGCCAUCUUCAUGUGUGGAUAUUCUGUGGAAGAGUCUGCGCAAAAACUAAAGUGUCAAGUGGUAUAUGGUAUUAGGUGUUAUGGAUAAUUGUUUGAUUACUGCUAAUUGUUUUUAGAGAAGUCUUCAGGUUCCAUCUUGUUUUUGGACCUGCAACUGGUGAAUAUUCUUGAAUAUGUGAUGUUCCCUUGAAAAAAUCUGGAAAGAAUUGCCAAGAAGCUAAGUGAACCAGUCAGGCAUUGCCUUUGCCUUAAAAUAUGACACCAAUAACAAAAAAUGGCAUCGUGUUACCUUUCCUUUUGGGAAUUUUCAUGGAUAUUGGGCUCCCGAGACUUUCCAACAUCAAUUCACCUGUUAAUGCAUUUGGACUUACCAAAAAUGGAUAAAUGGUUCCAUCCUUUGGGAAAAUUAAUUUGCUCUGUUGGUUGUAGAGUGUAAAGGCAACUUAAAAGAGAAAAUAAAGAACAAAAAGGACCUUCUGGAGCACACGUAAUACAAA